rnacentral:rRNA from 1 species
CAGUCGAGCGGUAGCACAGAGAGCUUGGUCUUUGGUUGACGAGAGGGGGACGGGUGAGUAAUGUGUGGGGAACUGCCCGAUGGAGGGGGAUAACUACUGGAAACGGUAGCUAAUACCGCAUAACGUCUCAAGAGCAAAGUGGGGGACCUUCGGGCCUCGCGCCAUCGGAUGUGCCCAUAUGGGAUUAUCUAGUAGGUGGGGUAAUGGGUCACCUAGGCGACGAUCCCUAUCUGGGCUGAGAGGAUGACCACCCACACUGGGACUGUGACACGGGCCACACUCCUACGGGAGGGAGCAGUGGGGAAUAUUGCGCAAUGGGCGCAAGCCUGAUGCGGCCAUGCGCCGUGUGUGAAAAAAGCCCUCGCGUUGUAAAGUACUUUCAGCGAGGAGGAAGGCGUUGUGGGUAAUAUCCUCGGCGAUUGACGCUACUCGCAGAAAAAACACCGCGUAACUCCGUGCCAGCAGCCGCGGUAAUACGGAGGGUGCAAGCGUUAAUCGGAAUUACUGUGCGUAAAGCGCACGCAGGCGGUCUGUUAAGUCAGAUGUGAAAUCCCCGGGCUCAACCUGGGAACUGCAUUUUAAACUGUGAAGCUAUAGUCUUGUAGAGGGGGGUAGAAUUCCAUGUGUAGCGCUGAAAUGCGUAGAGAUCUGGAGGAAUACCGGUGGGGGAAAGCGGGCCCCCUGGACAAAGACUGACGCUCACGUGCGAAAGCGUGGGGAGCAAACAGGAUUAUAUACCCCUGUGAGUCCACGCUGUAAACGAUGUCGACUUGUAGGUGUGCGCUUGAGGAGUGGGUUCCGGAGCUAACGCGUUAAAUCGACCGCCUGGGGAGUACGGCGCAAGGUAAACUCAAUGAGUUGACGGGGGGCCGCACAGCGGUGGAGCAUGUGGUUUAAU